UUUACAUAUUAGCUUAUAGCAUACAUCUUCUAUUCCUCAUCAGUUAAAUCAGUACAUUUCAAUUCCAAAUGUAUUAGUUCAUUCUUGUGCCAAUGUUUCUUUUAGGGGUGUCUGCUAGUUCCAAUCACAUAAAAUUUAUUCCAUAUAAUUGUUUUCUGAAUCUGUUAAUAGCAGAUUCUGCCAUUGAUUAAGGCUAGUGGCCGUAUGCCAUGAAUACUUUUAUCUUCACAAAUAGAAUAUUCUCUUGAUACUUGUGAUAUUAAUUUUGUUUAUAGGAGACAUGUCUUCGUCUUCAUCCACAAUGUGUCAAACAUUUUUGAAAUCCAUAUUUGAUGAUAGAAUAUUGGAAGUAUUCAGAAGAAUCUUCUGGAACUGAUGUAAGAUUCUUUACCCAGCAAUUUGUUGCCAUUGAAGAUCCAUGAUAUGUUUUACAAAAGGAAUGGUAAAUUCUAAAAUGGGCAAUUACAUGCUUCAUACCUAAAUUCCACCUACCAUUUCAAUUGGAGAAAUUAUUCUCCAUUUCCCCUCCUAUGACAAUGUUAUGCAGCAUUAACUGGUGCAGAGUGACUGCCAUAUUCCAUUCCAGAAAGCUCAUAUGCUGUUACAAGCAAAAAGGGAGAAAGGUCUAAGCAAAAUAUCUAGUCUUUUUUUAAUCUUCUGUUUUCCAUCCACCCCCCAAAUAUAUUAUGAUCUGCUAGUAAUUUGCUGCAUGAACUAGACAGAGCUGGAAUAAAGCAAUCAGGACUUCAAGCAUACCAUAAGAUGGGCCACCUGCACUGUCCAGCCUCUGCAUUAUGGCCCUGUCUCCCAAUGAAGUGGCAGUGACAGGUGCCAUAUACACGAGCCAUUUACUGGGCUUUUGAAGGGGGAAGCUGUCACCAUUCCUCUCUUGUGGCAGACAGGCAGGGGCAUCAACCUAGUUUUUAAAGCCUGAAGCUAGGCACCUAACUCCAUACUUAGACACACAAAAAGUUUGAUCAUCAGAGGUACUGAACUCCCAAGACCCCUAUUAACUUCAGUGAGUGUUCAGAUCUGAUCCAUUGAUAAGUAUAAUACACAUAUACCCUCUUGAGCAGUCCUGUGGUCAAAAUGCUUCCUGCUUCCAAGUUCUAUCACCAACUAACUGUUAAUGAAAGAAACAAAUAAUUACCAUAUAAAAGCUUGUUACAGUCACAUUUCACCUCUCUAACCACAAAUAGAUCUGAUCAGGAAUUUUUUGGCAAAAUGUUUUUGUUGACCAAAUGGCUAUUUGUCGACACCAAAACUUUGUGGCAAUGCAUCUUUUUUAGUGAUGUUUUGCAGGUCAACGAUGGAAUGUCAGGUGGGACGGAGAAACGGACAUAGGCCAAUAGCCUGGUGAUAAGGGCACUCACCUAGAUGUGAGAGAUCCAGGUCCAAGUCCCUGCUCUGGUGGCUUCAUUGUGUGCAAAGUGCUUGAAAUCUGCAAAUAACAAGAGGUUUUUAUGUGUGGACAGAAGGAAGAUUGAGAGCAACACCCAAGUAAGAGCCCAGUUGAACACUGCAGUAAAGCUAUACCCGGAACCCCCUACACACCAGUGGAGCACUUCUGCCAGAUAAGGAUGCAACUGAGGAGGAGCAUGGAGGACAUGUUUUGAGAGGGCAAUCACUUAUAAAACUAUAUUUCUAAGAGGAUCCAUCUUUAAAAUGUGCCAUUGUUUCCCAGUUAUCAUUCUUAACAUGGGAGUUGGAAGAAACCUCAGUGAAGCUGAUGGGCAUAACUGCUGCCCGUCAUUCAGGAUAAACAUAAGAAAUAACCAAGCCUCUUCGUGGAAUCAGAUAGCUGAAACAAUAGGAUCCACUGCCACCAACACAGGCACAUGGCAAAACUGGAUUGGAAGAUGAACCAUGUAGCCCAAGGUGUUUCUCUGGAGACUGAUACAGUGCAAACAGGAGCUGGGGAAUUGAUUGAGCUGAAUGCAGGAGAGAAGCAGCAGAAACACAGAACAACACAAAAAAGGAGUAAAGAAGCCCAGAUAUACCAAGAAAAAUCCUGGUAACAUGACCCUGAGGGGGAAAAAAGCUAAGACAGCACUCUUUGGAUAAAGGUUGUCUGACAGAAGCUUGGAACUAUGAGCAAAGAAACUGUCUCCUGUGGUUCAAUUUCUACUUUG